rnacentral:lncRNA from 1 species
GGGGACGACCCUCGGCCAGGGACGCGUGUCCGCCUGUCCCCGGCGAGAGCCGGGCAGGGGGAGGCGGGGCGGGGGUCUGCCCGCCGAGCAGGGGCAGGGCAGCGGUCCGCGGCGGAGGUGAGUCCGAGCCGAGCGGCCGCUCCGCCCGCCCGGAGGGGCGGGGGGUCGGGGCAGCCCCCCCCGCGCCGGGGCUGCGGGCGGAGGCCGCGGCGGUGGCGGCCCCCGGCAGCUCCUCCCCCGCCCGAGUUACAACCGGUUCGUGCCGGCCGCGGCCCGCCCGCCGCGCCGCGAUGCGGGGCUGCCCCGGCUCCCCGGGGGCGGCUCCGGGCCCCCGCCCCACGGGCCGCCCGCCCGCAGGUAACGGGGCCGGGGCCCCCGGGGGGACCCGCGCUUCGGGGGUGGGGGGCGCGGGCGAGGGGGGCGGGGGGCGGCCGGCCGGAGCCCCCGCAAGGGCCGCUGUCCCCCGGUUCGGCCCGGUCCGGCCCCGCUCUGCGGUGGGAGCUGCCCCGGGGGCUGGGGCGGCAGGGCCGGGCCGGGGUUCAGGAGGGGUGCUCUGCGCGGUCUUCGGAAAGAGGCUUCGGGAAAAGGAGUAGGAGCGGACCCGGGGCGAGCGCAUCCCUUGCGGUGCCCCUCGACGACCACCCCUCCAUGUUGGCUGUGGUGCCUCCUGGUGUGCCCCGUUGGCAUCCGGUGGGCAGUGUUUGCGACAUCAGCACCUGCCGCGGGCACAUGUCAGCGGGCGCCCGUCGCCAUCGGUGCGUGCCCAUUGCGGGAGCCCACCAGCCCCCGUCUGUGCCCAUUGCGGGCUCCCCGUGGCACCUCGGUGGCUGCGGCUGCCCCGGAGCGGGGCACCGUGGCUCGGACAGUGUGUGGCAUCGGGACGGUGAGGACGACCUUCAGUCCCCUCCUGAUGCGCGUCACUGCGCGGAUGAGCGCUUCCCGUCGAAACUGGCCUGGAGGUGGAAGGCGUCAAUGUGUAACGCGGGGCUGUGGGCUGUCCCCCGAGGGCGUGGGGAGAGACGAGGCGAGCCGGGGGCUAUAAGAGGCCAUCCAUCCCCACGGAGCCUCUGGCCAAGGGACACGGACGGACCGAGGGAACAGAUGCCGAAGGGAACCCUCGCAGGUUGUGAUGGUUAA